UACGUAGGGUGCAAGCGUUGUCCGGAAUUAUUGGGCGUAAAGAGCUCGUAGGUGGCCUGUCGCGUCGGCUGUGAAAACUCGGGGCUCAACUCCGAGCUUGCAGUCGAUACGGGCAGGCUAGAGUUCGGCAGGGGAGACUGGAAUUCCUGGUGUAGCGGUGAAAUGCGUAGAUAUCGUAAGGAAGACCAGUGGCGAAGGCGGGUCUCUGGACAGUUCCUGACGCUGAGGCACGAAGGUCAGGGGAGCAAACGGG
rnacentral:rRNA from 1 species